rnacentral:rRNA from 1 species
UACGAAGGGGGCUAGCGCUGCUCGGAAUCACUGGGCGUAAAGCGCACGUAGGCGGCUUCUUAAGUCAGGGGUGAAAUCCUGGAGCUCAACUCCAGAACUGCCUUUGAUACUGAGAAGCUUGAGUCCGGGAGAGGUGAGUGGAACUGCGAGUGUAGAGGUGAAAUUCGUAGAUAUUCGCAAGAACACCAGUGGCGAAGGCGGCUCACUGGCCCGGUACUGACGCUGAGGUGCGAAAGCGUGGGGAGCAAACAGG